rnacentral:tRNA from 1 species
AGGUGGCUCAGUGGUUAAGAGCACUGGAUGCUGUUCCAGAGGACCUGAGUUCAAUUCCCAGAACCCCUA